rnacentral:rRNA from 1 species
UACAGAGGGUGCGAGCGUUGUCCGGAAUUAUUGGGCGUAAAGAGCUCGUAGGCGGUGUGUCGCGUCGGUCGUGAAAACUUGGGGCUUAACUCUGAGCUUGCGGUCGAUACGGGCAUCACUUGAGUUCGGCAGGGGAGACUGGAAUUCCUGGUGUAGCGGUGAAAUGCGCAGAUAUCAGGAGGAACACCGGUGGCGAAGGCGGGUCUCUGGGCCGAUACUGACGCUGAGGAGCGAAAGCGUGGGGAGCAAACAGG